GGGAGGGAUGGUAAGAUGGGCUCAGCUCCGUCCUUGCAGGCUCGGAUAAAGCAGUUUUGGGGUUUCUUUGCCACUGGGGUGUGAAGGAACCUGCCCAGCCAUGGUUUGGAGCUCCCUGCACAUUCCAGAGCUUUCCACCUGCUCCAUCUGCUCCUACCUUUCCCUGGUAGUCGCCUGUGUCCUGCUGCCUGGAGAGGGAGGAAGGGGAAGAUCUGGAGCGGGUCUGACAGCCCAGGGAGGAGGGAAUCCAGGAUUUAUCCACGUCCAAGGACUCCACACCCUAAUCCGAGCUGGACACUCUGCUCUGCCCAGGAGGCCUCAGCAAUCCCAAGGAAUGGAGCAGGAGGGAGGAGAUCCAAGGAAUCCCCUGUGCCAUCCCAGAAUUUACCCAGUUCCCUGGGAAUAACUGAAUUUCCUUCCCACUCCAAGAGAAACAAUGGAAGACAUUGAUAUGUUGGUGUUGGAGUCCAAAAUGAGCUUUUCAAGUGCAGGGACAUUCGGGAAUAUUCUGCUCUGUCCAAAAAAAAAAAAGGGAAUUAUGGAGAGACACAAAGAAGUUGUUUUUAUCCUCCAGAACAGAGAAGGAAUUGUUUUCCCUGAUCCAUCCUUUUUUUGGGGGGUGGUUUCUCCAGUGCUUGAUAAUCCCUUGGAGUAAUUUACAUUAAUCCAAGAGUGUCCUUCACUGCCAGCCAUGGAAUUCUGGGGGAACUGAAUGUCUUGGAAAUUUCUGUCAAGUUUGUUUCAAAAGGUUGCAGUGAGAAUGCAAAGUUAGUGAAUACACAAGUGUGGUUUCCUUAAAAAAAAAAAAAAAAGGGAUGAAAAUUUCAUUACAAAUUAAUUUAUGCAGCCCUUUAUGUAAUUAACCCAGUGGUUUAUGAUUUAUAUCACAGAUAUCUGUAAUGAUUUUAAGAAAAUGAAAUGAUAUUUUAUGAAUUAGGGUGACAUGAGGAUUUGACAAUUUAAAAUGUAUCUUGAAUUUCCUCCCCAAGGAAAAAGUAAAGUGUAUGCCAAGAAAUCAGCAAAAUCAGGAAGUUUAGGAAAUAGAGAAGUCUUUGCAAAAUUAAUUUUCUGCGGUAUUAUUAUUUAUUGUCUUUAUUUUUUACAGCAAUAUUUUGCAUAAAAUUGCAUUUUAAAUCAUUUUUAGUUGUGGGGGAAGAACAGGGUGAAAAAUGGGAUUUUUAAAUUGAUUUAUUUUAAUUAAUCUUCAUCAGAGAUAAGAAAUAACAGCUUUAUUUGGCAUUGGAGACAGCAAAUAAUUCUCCUAAACAGCAGCUCAGCGGGACACACAAACAUCUCUAAACAUGGGACAAUUCCCUGAAAAAUCAGCUCAUUUUUAUUUUAUUUUGAAACAGGAUCUUCCAGAUUAUAAAACUUCCACUGUUAAACCCCAUAAAAGGGAUGGAACUGGGAUAUUCCGCGUGGAUAAAAGGAUUCAGAGUGUCAGAAAAACCCUUGGAAGAGGAGGAAGGCUUUUUUAAGCGCCUGGAGGAAAAACCAGGAGGAAACAAAACCAGGAUCCUUCAUUUUCCAACAAAACAACAGCCUCAGUUUAACCCCUCCCUUGUAAUUGUGUCUUGAACUGCGGUGCAAACAAAAACUCGUUAACACCUGGACUAAUGAAGCCCAGGAAGGCUCUGAAGUAUUCCAGCUGCACCUGGAAAGACACAGAUCCUGCUCCUCAUUGAUUUCUGUCACACAUCUCCAGGACAAACCCCCUGCCAGGGGGGCACGGGGGUCACACAGGGACUCCUCAUCCACCCGGAGAUCCAAGGUCAGGCAGUUCUGGGAUUUUCUGCCCACAUUUUCAGGCUGUACUUUUUUAAUCCCACAAGUGUUAUCCCGUAAACACUUCUGGUGAAGAAGUGAAGAGCCCCAGCACCUGGGGCUGAGAGCUCUUCACAAGAUUAAUUAUAAUUUGUCAAGUGUUUCAUCACUCUGAGGGAGCUGAGGCCUCGUGGAAGGAAAGGCCUAAAAAAUUGGUGGAAAGCAAAGGUGGAUCUGUUUAAAGUGGGUUUUAGGAGAGCUAAAAGGUUUCCCAGAGAAGCUGUGGCUGUCCCUGGACCCCUGGAAGAGUCCCAGGCCAGCUUGGAUGGGGCUUGGAGCCACCUGGGAUAGUGGAAGGUGUGCCUGCCCAUGGCACGGGUGGAAUGGGAUGAUCCUUAACAUCCAUCCCAACCCAUUCAGUGAUUCCAUGUUUCCAGUGAUGAUUAAAUCCCAAAUUACAGUGUGUGUGUGUGUGUGUUUGGGUGGUUUUUAACUGCAGAGGAUAAAAAACCUCCCAGCCUGAGGAAAAUCCUCAAAAGGAACAAAGAUUUUCCACCCUCUGGAAUAACUGGGAUGAGGAAUUACUUCACAAAGAUACAAAAGGGCAGAAUGCAAAGUGAAAAUAAAGAAGUUCCUUUGUUUCUCCAGCUGCAGAGCCUCAGGAGAUGUUCCUUCUCCUGCUAAAGAGAUCAAGGAAUUCAGGACAUAAACCUGGAUCCUGCUGCCCACAUGUCACUGUUAGUGAGGAGUGGAGCUGGUUUGGAUUUCUCCUGCUCCUCGUGGCAACUCCCAAAGGCUUCCCACAGCAGAGGGAAAAUCUCCAUGGACCAGCCCUGACGGAGUGGGGACACCACUGCAGGAGUGGGGUGAACAACAGGAGAACCUCCUGGAGGCUUGAUCUCUCCAUGAUUUCCUCGUGUGAUAACUGAAGGCAGAGAUUUGAGACCAGUUUCCAUGGAGUUCCUUCCUCUCCUGGAAUUCUUUGCCCUCUCUUCCCCAGAAGUCAGCUUUUCAAAUCCCUUAGAAACACCAGGGAAAUCUCUUUCCCUGAGAUGUGUCCGGCCACCAGAGGAAAAUGUUAUCUGCUGCUUUCCACCCUGGAUCUCAAGGAAUAAAAAUCCAGCAGGGAACAGUUUGCUCCUGUAUUUUAUUCCAUGUGGGAUCAGCAGGAUGAACUCUGAUAAAUUUAGGGUUUUCCUUGCACGUUUUGCUUUGGAAGCUCCCAGGGAUGAUGAGGUUGGGCUGUUUUUUUCCAGGAUCACAGAAUGACUUGGGUUCAUG